UACGUAGGGUGCGAGCGUUGUCCGGAAUUAUUGGGCGUAAAGAGCUCGUAGGCGGUGUGUCGCGUCGGCCGUGAAAACCUGGGGCUUAACUCUGGGCGUGCGGUCGAUACGGGCAUCACUAGAGUUCGGCAGGGGAGACUGGAGUUCCUGGUGUAGCGGUGAAAUGCGCAGAUAUCAGGAGGAACACCGGUGGCGAAGGCGGGUCUCUGGGCCGAUACUGACGCUGAGGAGCGAAAGCAUGGGUAGCGAACAGG
rnacentral:rRNA from 1 species